AUGGUCGAAGAAGGCAAGGAGAAGCAAGGAGCAGAGAGAGAAGACAAGAAAAACAUGGAUGCAGGCAAGGAGAAGCAAGGAGCAGGAACAGAUCAGAGGGCACAAAGCACUCACCAGGGGGGGCAAAAUAGCCAGCAGCAACAGUGGCUGAAUUCUGGUGCUUGGAACCAAGGGAUGCAACAUACACACCCCUGGAUGCAAAAUCGAAGGCUUCCACAUGCUUAUAUUAACAGAACACAAAGGAAUGCCCUGAAUAUUCCAGUGAGUGCAACUAUGUAUGGUAUCUUCAAUAGUCAAGGCAAUACACAGGCAAACUUGCCUGUGAACCUGGGUGCACAUACUUCAGUGGGUGAGUACAACCAAGUGUCUGCUGUGCUCCAACCCCCUGCAAACAAGGUCGCUUAUGAAGCCCCUAUGUCAUACAUGCAACUCCUACUUGCUGCUGAAGAAGAGGGUGCUAGAAAUGCAUCAUCUCAAUCACAAGAAGAUCGCCUUGUUCGUACUGAGAACGAUAUGUACAUGAUAACUGGGCGAUACAGUGUAUCUUCAGAAGAUCCAUUCCAAGCACAUGCGGGCGGUGGAGCUCAGCAUACAUCUGAAGUCGAUGACCAGCAUGAUAUAGAUCUUGAACCUUUUGUUGACAAUCGAUUUUCAGAAAGCUUGAAUGAUUUGAACUGGGACAAUGAAAUGCAGACAGAAGCAGGAGGAAACAAAAACGGCUCUAUGGUCUCAAAUGAGAUUGCUUCUGACAAUGAUUCUGAUUCCGAGGAUGAUCUUUCUUCGUCGUUGUUGCAAAAGGCCUCUGAAAUUGCUGUUACAACUGCUGGAGAACAAGAGAACAGUGGUACAGCUGGUGAAGUUCAAAAAUUAACACAGGAAGACAUACUGAUAUUCCUUGAAAAUGACAGUAUAGAAGCUGCUCAAAGUGCUAGCCAAGAAGUGCGCAGCCAUCACGUACCCCAUGUGGACAUGGUCUUUGAUACGGAUGAUGCAGCUUACAACUUUUACAAUGAGUAUGCCUCAAUUGCUGGUUUUCUGUGA
rnacentral:rRNA from 1 species